GAUGAACGCUGGCGGUAUGCUUAACACAUGCAAGUCGAACGGACUCUUCGGAGUUAGUUGCGGACGUGUGAGUAACGCGUGAGAAUCUGGCUUUGGGUUCGGGACAACCACUGUAAACGGUGGCUAAUACCGGAUGUGCCGAUAGGUAAAAGAGAAAUUGCCUGAAGAUGAGCUCGCGUCUGAUUAGCUAGUUGGUGAGGUAAAGGCUCACAAAGGCAGCGAUCAGUAGCUGGUCUGAGAGGAUGACCAGCCACACUGGGACUGAGACACGGCCCAGACUCAUACGGGAGGCAGCAGUGGGGAAUUUUCCGCAAUGGGCGAAAGCCUGACGGAGCAAUACCGCGUGAGAGAAGAAGGCUCUUGGGUUGUAAACCUCUUUUCUUAGGGAAGAACAAAAUGACGGUACCUAAGGAAUCAGCAUCGGCUAACUCCGUG
rnacentral:rRNA from 1 species